UACGGGGGGGGCAAGCGUUGUUCGGAAUUACUGGGCGUAAAGGGUUUGUAGGUGGCUUGUUAAGUCAGACGUGAAAUCCCUCAGCUUAACUGGGGAACUGCGUCUGAGACUGGUGAGCUUGAGUGCAGGAGAGGAACGCGGAAUUCCAGGUGUAGCGGUGUAAUGCGUAGAUAUCUGGAGGAACACCGGUGGCGAAGGCGGCAUUCUGGACCGAUAUUGACGCUGAGGAGCGAAAGCCAGGGGAGCAAACGGG
rnacentral:rRNA from 1 species